rnacentral:rRNA from 1 species
GUUGGCCGGGCGACGGUUGUCCCGGUUUAAGCGUGUAGGUGUGUGUUCCAGGUAAAUCCGGUUCACUUUAACACUGAGGCGUGACGACGAGGCACUACGGUGCUGAAGCAACAAAUGCCCUGCUUCCAGGAAAAGCCUCUAAGCAUCAGGUAACAUCAAAUCGUACCCCAAACCGACACAGGUGGUCAGGUAGAGAAUACCAAGGCGCUUGAGAGAACUCGGGUGAAGGAACUAGGCAAAAUGGUGCCGUAACUUCGGGAGAAGGCACGCUGACACGUAGGUGAAGUGAUUUACUCAUGGAGCUGAAGUCAGUCGAAGAUACCAGCUGGCUGCAACUGUUUAUUAAAAACACAGCACUGUGCAAACACGAAAGUGGACGUAUACGGUGUGACGCCUGCCCGGUGCCGGAAGGUUAAUUGAUGGGGUCAGCGCAAGCGAAGCUCCUGAUCGAAGCCCCGGUAAACGGCGGCCGUAACUAUAACGGUCCUAAGGUAGCGAAAUUCCUUGUCGGGUAAGUUCCGACCUGCACGAAUGGCGUAAUGAUGGCCAGGCUGUCUCCACCCGAGACUCAGUGAAAUUGAACUCGCUGUGAAGAUGCAGUGUACCCGCGGCAAGACGGAAAGACCCCGUGAACCUUUACUAUAGCUUGACACUGAACAUUGAGCCUUGAUGUGUAGGAUAGGUGGGAGGCUUUGAAGUGUGGACGCCAGUCUGCAUGGAGCCGACCUUGAAAUACCACCCUUUAAUGUUUGAUGUUCUAACGUGGACCCGUAAUCCGGGUUGCGGACAGUGUCUGGUGGGUAGUUUGACUGGGGCGGUCUCCUCCUAAAGAGUAACGGAGGAGCACGAAGGUUGGCUAAUCCUGGUCGGACAUCAGGAGGUUAGUGCAAUGGCAUAAGCCAGCUUGACUGCGAGCGUGACGGCGCGAGCAGGUGCGAAAGCAGGUCAUAGUGAUCCGGUGGUUCUGAAUGGAAGGGCCAUCGCUCAACGGAUAAAAGGUACUCCGGGGAUAACAGGCUGAUACCGCCCAAGAGUUCAUAUCGACGGCGGUGUUUGGCACCUCGAUGUCGGCUCAUCACAUCCUGGGGCUGAAGUAGGUCCCAAGGGUAUGGCUGUUCGCCAUUUAAAGUGGUACGCGAGCUGGGUUUAGAACGUCGUGAGACAGUUCGGUCCCUAUCUGCCGUGGGCGCUGGAGAACUGAGGGGGGCUGCUCCUAGUACGAGAGGACCGGAGUGGACGCAUCACUGGUGUUCGGGUUGUCAUGCCAAUGGCACUGCCCGGUAGCUAAAUGCGGAAGAGAUAAGUGCUGAAAGCAUCUAAGCACGAAACUUGCCCCGA